rnacentral:rRNA from 1 species
AUUGAACGCUGGCGGCAUGCUUUACACAUGCAAGUCGAACGGUAACAGGCCGCAAGGUGCUGACGAGUGGCGAACGGGUGAGUAAUGCAUCGGAACGUGCCCAGACGUGGGGGAUAACGCAGCGAAAGCUGUGCUAAUACCGCAUACGAUCUAUGGAUGAAAGCGGGGGACCGUAAGGCCUCGCGCGAUUGGAGCGGCCGAUGUCAGAUUAGGUAGUUGGUGGGGUAAAGGCCCACCAAGCCAACGAUCUGUAGCUGGUCUGAGAGGACGACCAGCCACACUGGGACUGAGACACGGCCCAGACUCCUACGGGAGGCAGCAGUGGGGAAUUUUGGACAAUGGGCGCAAGCCUGAUCCAGCAAUGCCGCGUGCAGGAAGAAGGCCUUCGGGUUGUAAACUGCUUUUGUACGGAACGAAAAGGUCUGGGUUAAUACCCUGGGCCGAUGACGGUACCGUAAGAAUAAGCACCGGCUAACUACGUGCCAGCAGCCGCAGUAA